rnacentral:rRNA from 1 species
AGUGAACGCUGGCGGUAGGCCUAACACAUGCAAGUCGAACGGCAGCACGGUAAGAGCUUGCUCUUACGGGUGGCGAGUGGCGGACGGGUGAGGAAUACAUCGGAAUCUACUUUUUCGUGGGGGAUAACGUAGGGAAACUUACGCUAAUACCGCAUACGACCUACGGGUGAAAGCAGGGGAUCUUCGGACCUUGCGCGAUUGAAUGAGCCGAUGUCGGAUUAGCUAGUUGGCGGGGUAAAGGCCCACCAAGGCGACGAUCCGUAGCUGGUCUGAGAGGAUGAUCAGCCACACUGGAACUGAGACACGGUCCAGACUCCUACGGGAGGCAGCAGUGGGGAAUAUUGGACAAUGGGCGCAAGCCUGAUCCAGCCAUACCGCGUGGGUGAAGAAGGCCUUCGGGUUGUAAAGCCCUUUUGUUGGGAAAGAAAAGAAGCAGGUUAAUACCCCGCUGUUCUGACGGUACCCAAAGAAUAAGCACCGGCUAACUUCGUG